rfam:Hordeum vulgare subsp. vulgare, WGS project CAJW01000000 data, contig: morex_contig_278878
UGGUAGCAUCCAAAAGAUAAGGUGCAUGCCCGAUACAGUCUUCCUAGAGUAAAACUAUCAUUUCCUGCUUGUGGUAUUGUUAGCAAGUUCUACAAGUCUCAAAUGAUAAGACAGCUUC